rnacentral:tRNA from 2 species
GCGAGUGUGGCGGAACUGGUAGACGCGCUAGACUUAGGAUCUAGUGUCUUUCGGCGUGGGGGUUCAAGUCCCUCCACUCGCA